UGCCAGCAGCCGCGGUAAUACGGAGGGUGCAAGCGUUGUUCGGAAUUAUUGGGCGUAAAGAGCAUGUAGGCGGACUGUUAAGUCAGGGGUGAAAUCCCGGGGCUCAACCCCGGAACUGCCUCUGAUACUGGUAGUCUUGAGUUCGAGAGAGGUGAGUGGAAUUCCGAGUGUAGAGGUGAAAUUCGUAGAUAUUCGGAGGAACACCAGUGGCGAAGGCGGCUCUCUGGGUCGAUAUUGACGCUGAGGCGCGAAGGCGUGGGUAGCGAACGGGAUUAGAUA
rnacentral:rRNA from 1 species